rnacentral:rRNA from 1 species
GACGAACGCUGGCGGCGUGCUUAACACAUGCAAGUCGAACGAUGAACCCGGAGCUUGCUCCGGUGGAUUAGUGGCGGACUGGUGAGUAACGCGUGAGGAACCUGCCUUUCAGAGGGGGACAACAGUUGGAAACGACUGCUAAUACCGCAUGACGCAUUUUGAUCGCAUGGUCGAAAUGCCAAAGAUUUAUCGCUGAAAGAUGGCCUCGCGUCUGAUUAGCUAGUUGGUGAGGUAACGGCCCACCAAGGCGACGAUCAGUAGCCGGACUGAGAGGUUGACCGGCCACAUUGGGACUGAGAUACGGCCCAGACUCCUACGGGAGGCAGCAGUGGGGAAUAUUGGGCAAUGGGCGCAAGCCUGACCCAGCAACGCCGCGUGAAGGAAGAAGGCUUUCGGGUUGUAAACUUCUUUUAAGUGGGAAGAGCAGAAGACGGUACCACUUGAAUAAGCCACGGCUAACUACGUGCCAGCCGCCGCAGUAA